ACAACAUUCGGGACCGUCGGUCUACCGAGCAAUGUCACCCACUCAGUGGAAGAUCUUCCCUCCGUCGU
rnacentral:pre_miRNA from 1 species